CCAAGGUAUACAGCGGUUGAGGAACCUCAGCUUUUUGGAAAGUAGUGUGGAGCAUCUUCCAUGACAUGUCCCAUUCCAGGACGGUGCCUCAAGUUCUUGUACCCAACCUGGAUGGGCAGAGCGUGCUCUCGGAUGGAUGUGCUGUCCAGAAAUUGGCAUCCAGGCUUCACACUGCAGUAGCUUAGGCAGAAAUGCAGGUCACUGUAUCGCAGCCGGUUACAGGACGGGGAGGUGGUACGCUGCUCCGUGGCCUGGUCACUGCUGCUUACAGUGCAGGGCCCUUCAGAACGGUGCUAUGUCCUCAUUCCUCUGCAUGCUUUAAGGGGACAUGGCAGGUGUGCAGAUGCUUAUCCCUGGAAGAAGAAGAUCCAAAAGGUUUCUUUCAAUAAGCAGGUGUCAAGGUGAACUCAAAGUUGGUUUGUUUUCAGAGUGCCAGCUACUGCUUGUGACGCUGCAUCCUCAUCCGCUGCCUUUCUGUUUAUACCAAAUGAUGGAUGCAGAUUUAAUCAUCUGCCUUGCCAGGACCUGCUGCAGGAGUGAUGGUUGCCCACUGUGCUAGGAGCAUGUGGGCUGCUUCCCAAGGGAAAUUAAUGCUUUUAAAGAGACUUUUUGUGUCUCAUCAGCUGAAUCUGCUUCUCUUUUUCUCUCUGAUUUGCUUUGCAAAAACUGUCUGCUUAGCAGAUUGGGCAGGCAGCUAUAAAAGAGUUGAAAUGCUUAAUUAUUUCCCUGGGCUGUGGAUGGUAUCAGCGAUUAAGGUCCAGGGUCAGACCUUGGGAGGCAGCCUUGUGUUUUGGGCAGACUUCUCUAUAUCGGCCUUUUACUCUGUUUCUGUCUGAGGCCAUCAGCAGGCGUGACUUUUCCCCUCUCUCUCCUUGCUUCCCUAACAUCUGUACACAUACAUCUUCUUGGCAUUGCAUGCUCUUCCUAGUGAAUAUACUGUAUCAAGCUUUUUAACCUAUAAAUGAAAGGUAAUUGCUAGUAGUUAUGCUUGAAAAAAAGGGUUUGUUUCUCAUUGUAUUCACACCAUUCUCCUGUAAUUUCUGCAGAUAUUUGCAGUUUAAAUGAGCCUGAAGCCAUGAUCAGGGUCGUGGUUCUUAGCUCUUUACAGCUUGGGGAAAAAGGAAGUGCCUGUGUCUGAGUCAUUAUUUAGAACUAAUAAUAGAAGAAUGUUGAUCUACUCAGUUUUUUUUCCAGUUACCAGCUAAUUGCUGCAAAACAGAAAGAUGUUGCAAAUCUCGUCUCCUGUAAUGAGUAGUCCCAGGAGUCUCUUGGUUCCUGCUACAUUUACAUUUCUUCAGCGGGUGUUCACCUCACUCUUCAAAGAUACAGCAUGGAUGUUUUCAUCUCUUGUCUUUACAAAGUGUUUAUUUUUUUCUCUUUUAAUUUAAAUUUAAUUGAUAUUUAGUAUGUGUAGAUGUGGGUGGCUGGGACCGUAGCGCAGAUAACUGUGCAAACUUCCUUCCAGCUGUUUCCUCUGCACCUCUAGAUCUGGUCCUGUCUCUUCCUGCCCCUCUGACCAGUGCUUGGCCAGUGUACCCCGAUGAUGCCAGCUCGCCCUGCAAACCAGCUGCUGCCUCCUCAACCGCAGUUGUCCUGUGAUUCAUGGCCAUGGCUUGUCCCAGGCAAGAGCCCAGGAGCAUCUUUUCAAGGUCACAAGCUGUCAGUCAGUCAUCCAGAGCAGAGGAGGAAGGGGUUGCAGAGUGUGACCAUCAUUUUUGGCAGCAAGGUCCUGGUGGUGCAAUUGGCAGAAAAGGUGCAAAAUGGCUGCAAAUCCUGCACAGCAGCUGCUCCACGUGAUGGGAAAGUAUCCUCUCCUUAUGGCUGCCUUGUAAUUUAACGGCAGUAGAAGGAAAAGCCCUCCUUUCCCUUGUGGACAUUGGCUAGAGAGGGGAGACUUUGAACACACCAACUUCUCUCCUCUCUUCCCAUCCAAAAGUGUGUAAAGGGGGUAAAUUCCAGCAUUAUGUGCUAAUACUGCCCUGCAUCCCGCUAAGGUCUAAAACACCCCGUGUGCAAGGUUCAGUGAGCUGCCUGCAGGCUGCCUGCGUCCUAAUGGCUUCAUCAGCCUCCCUAAGAGCUGCAGUCAGGAGAACGUAUGGAUGGCAUAAGGCCACUGAGGGCUCUGUCUUCUAUACUUUUCCUUCCUUCACCCCGUUAAGUCCAGCCUUCGCUGACAUAUAAGACAUUUUAAAAUUUGUAGACACGUACCCAGCCAACAUGCUGGGUGCUGUUGGCUCUCUCCUUGUUUCCCGUUGCCACGCUUCAAAGCACUUGCCGGGAGGAGCAGUAGAGCUCAGAUGGAGCAGUGGAUAGCUUCUGGGUUCAAAACAGCUUGUUCCUUGCUGCUCUUUUCUUUUGAAGCCCUCCUUCCCCACCCUUCCACCACUGCGAAUGUAUUGUUAAGAAGUCAAAAGGGAUCCAGGCUGCGCUGAGCUUUGUGGUAAGACCACUGGGUUGCCAGAACUGGGACGUAGCCUCUGGCUUUAGGAAUGUGCAUUUUUUGUGGGUUUCUUGCUCUGUUCUGAUGAUGUAAAAGUAGGAGGGGGGAGGAGGAAGAGAAGGACAAAGAGUUCAACCAGCCAUGCUUCCUUCCUCCCUGGUUUCCUAAAGGAGCUGGAAUUUGGUAUUUGACAAAUAAUGACAGAAUGAUUGGAAAGGGCAGGCAGUAUACAUCCGUGCUGGCCUGAAGUCAGAAGGGGGCUAAAAAUCCUGGCGUGUAGGUGGUUGUGAUGCUAGUACUGAUUUUAUAAGGGGUGGAAAAAUGCUUUGAAGCAGCCUAUUUGUGUCUGAAUAAACCUGACUUUGUCAUUUCACGUUCAGCCUGCAAAGUUACGUCCUGUUCCCCUCCUGGCUUGCUUUUCCCUGGGGCUGACCACUUGGCCAAAGUCAGCACGGAGCCUCUAACAAGGCAGAACCAAGGCACAGAUACAAAAAUAACCCGGGGUUUGACCAAGAUGUUUCCAGCCGGGUAGAACUGAGACCAGCUUUAGUGCUCGCUCAGCGUUGGAGCCAAAGUCUUUACACAACCAUUGAACAGGUCUCUGUGGAAAACAUGGGAGGAGUGCGGGGGACAGAGAAGAGCCAAGAAGACGUGUCAAAAAGACAGCGGCAGCCAACAGAGUGUGGUUCACAGGCAGAAAAUAAACCUGUAGCAUCUUUGAGACAAUACUGACAGAACAAGAACAGAUGAUGGAAUAUUCCCAGAGAGAGUUACCGAACAGCAACUCUCUAAGUCCUUACCACAUUCAAGGGAUUCAAGUAAAG